GAGGGUAUAGCUCAAGUGGUAGAGCACAUGCUUAGCAUGCAGAGGUCGUGGGUUCAAUACCCAGUACCUCCA
rnacentral:tRNA from 1 species